CCCAUUUGGAUACCUAUUACAUACAGGCUUCUCACAUUGGGUUACAAAAGAACCAACAUUAAAACAAAAAGGGAAAGAAUUGCAACAACAUGUCCCAAUGAAAUGUACAAUACACAUACAUACAUACACCUAAUGAUAGUUAUUUAAAGAAACAUGCAACCUCAAAAUCACGGUUGAGACACAUAUAUUGGAUAUGGGCCAAACCUCCCGUUCGCAUUAGAGAACAUAUUCUGGAUAUAAAGAAAGGGAACUCAAACUCCAAUGUAGCUAAACAUUUUCAGGAUUGCAAUGGUGGGGAUAUCACCAAACUAGCUGUUAUAGGUAUAGACAAAGCAGUAAAGGGGAAAUGGGAUGGAGACAUUAUACCAAAACUACUUUGUUUAGAGACCAAGUGGAUUUUUUUUUUUAAAAUUUCUUUCUUUAUUUUUUUCUCAUACAAAAAGAAAAAAAGAACAAAUUAAACAAUACACAAAAUAAGGGGGGGAAAGGGUACAAAAAAUAAAUACAAGGGGGCGUUGGGGAGGUGGUGUAUUAGUCAUAUAUCCCACUGUUCAUAACCACUUCGACGUUUAUUCCGUAUAUGUUCUCCAUACAUAUUUUCUUUUGCUAACUGCUACUUUAUUCUCCUCUUGUUUUUCAAUUUUGAUCUAAUGAUUCCCUAAAUCUGUACCACGGGGUCCAAAUCUUCCAAUAAAUUACACUGUUACUAUGAUAUAAAUACGUUAACUCCUCUAGCUGUCUUAUUUCUUCUACUGAUCUCAUCCAUUCGUUAAAUGAGGGCGGUUCCUUGGAUUUCCAAUGUUUUGGGAUUAGGGAUUUAGCUACUUGAAUAAGAUAAAAGGUAAGUGUAUCAUCUAGUAUCUUGUAGUUCUCCAAAUUUACAUUUAGUAACAUUGUUACUUGGUCUUCCAUCUGUACCUUAACUGAUGUGAUUAUUUUUACGCUUUCUAAUAUUUGUUCCCAGUAAUCCUUCAGUUUAGGGCAGGUUAACCACAUAUGUAAAUGAUUUCCAACUUUAUCGUUGCAUCUCCAGCACCCGUGAUGCUUUUGUGGGUAUAUUUUAUUUAGCCUUGCUGGGGUUAGAUGCCACCUUGUGAUUAUUUUAUAGAUUGCUUCUUUCAUUUUUGACGCCCUGGCUUUUUUGUUUCCUUUCUUAAAAAUAUUCACCCACAUUUGUUCUGGUAUAUUGACUCCCAGUUCUUUCUCCCAGGAGCGACAAAACGAUGGUAAUUUAUAUUCACCUGAAUUGAGAAGAAUAUCGUAUACCUUUGAGAGAGGUUUCAUCAGGUCUGGGUACAAACCCUGCUUGAUCCUGAUGAAUAAUUGAGGCUUGGAGCCCAAGGCUAUCAAAUAGCCUCUUAAGACGCAUUUUACAGUUUCCCAUAAAGUUGACGAUGAUAUUUCUGGUGUUAAAUUGUUUGUUACUAUUUGUUUAAUCCAUUUAUGUAUCAUAUCCUUAUUGUCUGCGUUAUGUAAUAGAAAUUCAUUUAAUCGCCAAUUAAAUUCUGGUUUAAUUACUCCUGGUAUCAUAUAUUUCGUGAUUACCGGUGCAUGAUCUGAUGUUAAUGAUGUGGCUAUAUCGGCUUUUUGGAAUAAAUGUGCCCAUUGUUGUGAUACCAUUAUGUAAUCUAUUCGUGAAUAAACCUGAUAUUGCUUUGAA